GUGGCAUCCGAUGCUGCAAAGGAAGCUGUGUGGUUACGAAAGUUCGUCAAUGACCUCAGAGUGGCAUCCUCCCUUGAUGGCCCCAUCUUGUUGUACGAUGACAGUACUGAUGCCAUCCUCAAGCAAAGGAACUGAAGUCAUAUCAGCAGACUAAGCACAUUCUGUGUCGCUACCAUCUGGUCUGAGAGAUUAUGGAUUGAGGUGACG
rnacentral:lncRNA from 1 species